rnacentral:rRNA from 1 species
CCUAAUACAUGCAAGUCGUACGCUAGCCCGCUGAAUUGAUCCUUCGGGUGAAGUGAGGCAAUGACUAGAGUGGCGAACUGGUGAGUAACACGUAAGAAACCUGCCCUUUAGUGGGGGAUAACAUUUGGAAACAGAUGCUAAUACCGCGUAACAACAAAUCACACAUGUGAUCUGUUUGAAAGGUCCUUUUGGAUCGCUAGAGGAUGGUCUUGCGGCGUAUUAGCUUGUUGGUAGGGUAGAAGCCUACCAAGGCAAUGAUGCGUAGCCGAGUUGAGAGACUGGCCGGCCACAUUGGGACUGAGACACUGCCCAAACUCCUACGGGAGGCUGCAGUAGGGAAUUUUCCGCAAUGCACGAAAGUGUGACGGAGCGACGCCGCGUGUGUGAUGAAGGCUUUCGGGUCGUAAAGCACUGUUGUAAGGGAAGAAUAACUGAAUUCAGAGAAAGUUUUCAGCUUGACGGUACCUUACCAGAAAGGGAUGGCUAAAUACGUGCCAGCAGCCGCGGUAAUACGUAUGUCCCGAGCGUUAUCCGGAUUUAUUGGGCGUAAAGCGAGCGCAGACGGUUUAUUAAGUCUGAUGUGAAAUCCCGAGGCCCAACCUCGGAACUGCAUUGGAAACUGA